rnacentral:misc_RNA from 1 species
GUGUGCGUAAGUGAGUGGAGUGCAUGUGAGGAUUCUUUAGCAUGUGAGUGAAUUGCAAAGUUUUUAUUUAGUCCUUAUUAAUAAAAAUUUCAUUCAAAUAAGUCCGUCGUCCUUACACACAUAUAUCCUCGAAUGAGCUAUAUAAUACGCUUUUCUCAACUUAUUGUUGUGCCUAUUCUAAUUUAUUGGAAUUCGCAUUUGAAACCCAAAUUUUUAAUUGAAUUCCAAAUUCUUUUUGCAGUGAUGCUUCUUGUGAGAAGCAUGAACAAUUUUCUUAAAAAUCUUGAUUUCUUUCCAACGAGACUCCAUGUAAUCAGAAUCAUUUUUCUGUGCAUAGACUCCAAAUUUGAAGAAAUGGAAAGCUCCUCCACGCCCAGAUCCCUGAUAUGACAGAAACCCAUCAACAUAAACCUUAACAUUGGAGGCAUCCAUAUCAUGAAUCACAUUAACUCUGAACCAUCUGUCGUAGAUUUGUGGGACAAUCACUGGAUCAGUGUAGUAGGUUAAAUUGCCAGAGUAGACUCUAAGCAUUAAGGUUGUCGUAAUGGUGGCAUUUGGAUCAGCUCCAAACACUUGCAUUAUACACACACCAGAUGUACCAGAUGGUACGUAUGCAUUUCCUUCGAAUUGCCAAACACCAGAAGUGUAAUUAUAUCCGUUGAUUAUGACUUCUGUUCGAGGCCUGGUGGGACUACUUCUGGCCAAAGGCUUGUCAGUGGAGUAGACCCAUAGCUGGUGGGUUCCAUUCACAAAGCUAUAUCGUUUGCUUACAUCUAAAUCAUAAGGCUUCUGUAUAUAGUAAUAAGAUGAGUUAAAGGGAAGUUCUGCGAAGCCUUGAGUUGGAUCCUCUGCUGUAGAGCAGCCAACCACACAAUAGAAGAGUAUUAGUACAAGAAAACCUGUACUGUAUAAAGUAGCAGUAGUGAUCAUUGCUUUAGAGAAAGAGCAGACCUAAU